rnacentral:lncRNA from 1 species
UUUUUUUUUUUUUGUACAUUUCUUUGCUUUUUCUAUUUGACCCGGUUCUCCGUUGCUUUUUCCCAUCCUGUACUAUUAUAGUUUAAACUCCUACGACAAGUAAUUUGGGAUUCUUCCUGCGUAAUAUUUUCUGGAACAUUUGUGAUUCUUUGGGAGCCACAGACUCUAGCUAUUUUCUCUGUUCAAGUCAGACUCGUUCCACAGCUAUUUGGAAAGUUUCCACUGUCAGUUGACGUAAUUGAGACUCGAUCCACUGAUUCCACAUGAACUAUUCAACUGCAGUGGAAACGGAGAGGAGUUAGGUAGAAUAUAACAGAUUUAAUUUUCGAGCUGGUUUCUCCAUCGACCUCUCUGAUAACAUUCUAUUGGUUUUGGGAGUC